GAUGAACGCUGGCGGCGUGCCUAAUACAUGCAAGUCGAGCGAACGGACGAGAAGCUUGCUUCUCUGAUGUUAGCGGCGGACGGGUGAGUAACACGUGGAUAACCUACCUAUAAGACUGGGAUAACUUCGGGAAACCGGAGCUAAUACCGGAUAAUAUUUUGAACCGCAUGGUUCAAAAGUGAAAGACGGUCUUGCUGUCACUUAUAGAUGGAUCUGCGCUGCAUUAGCUAGUUGGUAAGGUAACGGCUUACCAAGGCAACGAUGCAUAGCCGACCUGAGAGGGUGAUCGGCCACACUGGAACUGAGACACGGUCCAGACUCCUACGGGAGGCAGCAGUAGGGAAUCUUCCGCAAUGGGCGAAAGCCUGACGGAGCAACGCCGCGUGAGUGAUGAAGGUCUUCGGAUCGUAAAACUCUGUUAUUAGGGAAGAAAAUAUGUGUAAGUAACUGUGCACAUCUUGACGGUACCUAAUCAGAAAGCCACGGCUAACGACG
rnacentral:rRNA from 1 species